GCUCAUACCCUCUUCUUAAAACUUUCUGGAUUAACUCUGAGUUUUAACCAGCUUUUAUCUACAUUCCUUACAACAUUUAGAAUGUGACCUAAUAAUGCAUGUGUCUUCUAAGUGAUGUGUUUAGUCAGAUUUAUUUAUAUUUAAUACCCCAUAGUGUAAAAAUCUCCCUUUUUGAAUAGUUCUGAAAGGAUAAACAAUUUAUGUCUAUUAUUAUGCUCAUCAGGUGAGACAAAGAUAAAUCAAGAAGAUAUAUCUAAAAGGAUCCAGGAACAGACAUGUUUGUUUACACUUGCAUCAAAAGAAUAAUUAUGGGCCCAAAUGAUCUAGGGAAGUCUUAUUUGAUGCCACUUCUUCUGACUUCUAUAAGUCACUUUGCUUGCACUGAAGUAAAGAGCCAGAGGUAACCCAAGGUUUCCAGGAUCUUGCUAGAGUUAGAUGUGUAGAGGUCUAACACAGCAAAUAAAUAUAUAUAAAUCUUACAAUAUGAAACUAAGAAAAAAACAUUUUUUUUUUUCAGAGCAGCAACAAAUCAACAAAAACCACAAUAUCAAUGUUUUAAACAUAUAUCCUAUCAGUAGAAGAAAUUGUAAUGUGCUUUAUCUAGGGGGGAAUUCUGAACUGUUAGAAGUUCAGUUCUGCAUAGUCUGGACAAGUAAUUAGGUCCUUUCUGUAGACCACAGAGAGAAGUAUGGAAAAAUCGUGUUGAUUUCUUUGAGGGAGCUGUUUAAACAUCUCAUAUCUGACUCUUAGUUCAGAUCAGGGAAGAUUAAUUCCAGGCUCAGUCUGGAGACAAACGGGAGGCACUUUUCCAACUGGGGUUUUACAUGCUGUUCACAUAGCAAGCACAAUUUCCUUCAAACCAGAAAAUUUUGCAAGAUCAGACUCUUUUGAAAUGAUAAAGACAUCAUUUGCUUGUUUGGUAUGUGCCAGCUGAUGGAUUCUGUUUGCCACUGUUUUAAAACAAGGAAUAGCUGCACCAACUCAUUUAUUUAAUGAUAAUGUACCAGAUUAUAGGUUUAUUAUUACAGAAAAAUAUCUGGUAUUUGGGAAAAAGGGAGAAGAAAAACAGACGCUAAGUAAGAACUCCAAAGUGAACUAUCCUGGACAACAUGUGAACUACCACUGAGCUCACCAAUAGUAUUGCACAUGCCAGAAAAGCUACUGUUCUCCAGAAAACAAGAAAACAAACACAAGUCCCCUCCAACCCAGUGCACCUUCUUUCCUAAAAGUAAUCAGCUGAGCUGGAAGAUGAAGAAAGGACACUUCAUUACAAGGUAGAGCCUGGAACAAAGCAACAUUACAGAGACUUGGUGUGCAAAGAAGAAGAGGGGAAAGUAUUGGGAAUGUCUGUCUGGAUGUAACUGAGCAGAAGCAUGAGCCUUCUUCCAUGAUUCAGAACUCCAGGCCUCAUGGGUGUCCUGUUCCCAGUGGGAGUUGAGAAAAAUGUAGCCAUGAAAAUCAGGACUGGUGAAUUUCCAAGUGGUUUCAGCCUGCUCUUUAAAGAAGUCUCAUAGUCCCCUGGUCGUUGUGUGCAGAAGCAGCUACACUGAUGACAAAGCUGGGAACUCCUGGAGAUGGUACCCUGGGACUGCUGGGACCACAUGCCCCUGGAUCAGUCCUUGGGAGAGGAUGCACAAGCAGCUUUGGCAAGGAUUCAUCUUCCUAAUCCAAGGACUGUGGUGACAGUUCCUAUAACCAGCUGAAGGAUCUAAAGACCUCACUAAUGUCAGGUCUGAGAACAAAGUGCCUGUGAUGUCCUUGCUUGAUAUUUUCCUACUUACCCAAGGAGACAGGAGCAUCAAUUCUAUUGAGAAAUGUUCCUCUCCAUGGAUUUAUCAUUUUGAUGCCUCUGUAAGGAAAAGGUGAGCUGAAUACUUAAAUACAUGGGUUGAUGUUUGUUUUGGAGUUUUGGAGUUUUUAAAAUAACCUAUUUCUGUCUGUGAAAGGUCUUUAAGCAUUCUGCAUUCUCCUUGCUUUCCAAUUAAGUUUUCUGGUGUUUCUAAUGUGGUCCUCUGGAGUGCUGGAAAGUAAUAGGAACAAGAAUGCAUUUAAUACCUGGCCUGGCGACUUGGCAGCAAAGCUUAGCACUCCAGUGUGGGGAGUAGCAGGUUCAAGCCCAACCCCAGGAGUGUUAGUACUUGGACUGGCAGAGGGCUGGUGUAAUGCACAGACAGUGAGCUCAUUCUGCAGGUGGAGUGUUCAGCUGCAUUGAUCUUGUGGCAAACCCAGCCCGCUAAGGUUUUGGAGAAACAUUGGCUCUGAUCUGAAAGGAAAUUGUGCUGCCUUUCCCUGUCUUUCCACUAGUUUAGCUUGCAAGCUCUAAUAACAUUAAAACAUACUUUAAGCAAGAAGGCUGACGCAGCUACAGAGACAAAAAGUAAUUUCCUAUAAAUAGUAAAUACAAUAAGCAAAACUCUAAUCUCUCAUUUGGUAAUUGUAUUUUCAUGGGGUCAGCCAGCCUCCCUGGCCAGGUUGAGGUCAAUUCUAAAAUAUGUGCAUUAUAUACAUUAGGCAUUUGUUAAUGAAGCAUAAAUUUCAUCAGCAAGCUGGAUGCCAAAAUCAACUCAUUUGGGUACAUGGUUUGUAUCUACAGUGGUGUCUUAUGGAUUUGUUCCAUAGCUGAAACAGCAAGUCUGUGUAGAUGCCACGAAUGGCAUACAAUAAGGGAAAAAAAAAGGAACACCACAAGCAUUAUAGAUGAGCAUAAAUCUUCUGAAUUUUGGUUAAAUGAAAUCCAGAAUGCAGUGGAUUCCAAGAUAACAGUAAAUAAAGGGUAAGGAAAAGACCAUGUUUCCAGAACCAAGAAAACCUGGUCAGGGAUAGAAAUUAUUCCAUUUGAUAAUAUCUGGUCAGUGCUACUAAUUAUUUCCUUUGACAAGACAUGACAUGAAAAAGGUAAUAAAAAAGCUAAAUACAAAGCAAACACUCAAUUUUAGAGCACCAUUUCCUAGAAGGGGUUCAGUGGGGAUUCACUCUAGAAAUUCACCAGAAUUUUGCUCAGAUCCAUCACAGGGAGCCGAGGCAGAGCAGCAGGAAGAUGACCCCUCUCAGCAGUUGAGCAAGAAGUCCUCAUCCUUACUUCUCCUGCCAGCCUAGUGUGUCAAAUGUAGGAUUUUGUUCUCAAGAAUGGUGAGCCUAAAAAUGAGAACAGGCUGAACAAACUUAAUACCCAACCUUAUGAUGAUGGUACCAUAACACUCUUCCCUUGCAAGCACAUAAGCAAUAUUACUUCUCUGCUUUGGAAGUAAGGCUUGUGAGUCCUUUCAAUGUGUAGGCUGGAAUACUGCUUUGCUUUAUUUAAUCUACACAGGGUCUGAGGACAGCAGGAUUUUGGCCAUUUUUUAUUGCCCAUUAAAGUGGAAGAAGUGUUUCAGAGUAGUAGCCAAUUUGAAAAGGAAUAUGAAAUAAAAUAAAUUCUUCAGAUUUCAGGAGCGUUCUCCAUUCAUUAAGUUUUCAUGGCUGAGCACUAGAUCAUUGCGUGCUUUGGCAGUGGAAAAUAAAAUUUCAGAAAGAGAAAACUUUCCCAGUAGCACAUGUUGGAACAACACUACAGGCUCCAAGUUGGGUUAAGCCAAUUGUAAGUUUGACAGCGGAAUUAUAUCAAUCUCUUUGAACAGGCAAUCCAAGGAAUUUUUGUAGAGCCAUGUGAGUUGUUCUCUUAGUUUCGAUUCAGUAACUUUCAUGUAAAGUGAAGGUGAGGUUUUAGUAGGCAAUAGAAUGAGCAAAUUAUUGGGAAAAAGUUUACACCAUGCCAAGAAAUGUCCUGCAAGACAUUGAAUCCCAGUGAGACUGGCAAAUGAGUGAGGGGAAAAGGUGAUCUCCUAAUUCUUCAUUCCUCUUUUCCAGUGGAGCAGAGGAUGGGUAAGUAAAGGAUGUUAGUCCGUGUUCCUGUGUACCCAAAAUUCAGGCAGCAAGGAACUGAAUAAUAGAUAUAUGGAGAAAGGAAGGAUGUAGGUAUAAAUUGACAGUUCUUCAUUAGUAGAAAUGAAAAACAUGAUGUUUUUUCUACAUGUAUUUAUGCCUGGAUGUAAAACACACUGAGACCCACAGAACCCCAUCCAUCUACUUCAGUGGGCUUUGGGACAGUGCAGACAUCACCCUGUUGGAAUGAGGCUGCAAGGAACUUUCAGAGAGGCUGUUUCUCUUCUGCUGCAGAUAUGAGGACAUAAUGGAAAACAAGGUUGCUGUCUUUCUGCUGCUGUGCCUAGUUGAAGUCACAAAGGAUGAUGAAAGGGCAUGUGAAACAACCCUGUGGAAAAAAGACUGCCUGGAUAAGAACAGGACAUCAUCCUUGGCUAGUUUCCUGAAGGUCACUACUUGGAAGCUGAAGACAAACACAAGAGAAUGGCAGUAUGAAAAUAUAAAAAAUUGGUAAAUAUUAUGAUAAUGUGAAGAGAUGGCUCUAAUAAAGAUGCCACAUCUGGAAACAGCCACGAACGUCAGCUCAACCUGUGACAGCAACGAGUGGAGCAAGAGCAGGGCCACCUGUGCUGCAGGGAGUGAGCAGCUCUCUCCUGGCCUGCUCCCAGUGGUAUUAGGACUGCUCCAUAUUUAUGCCAUAUUUAUGAAAGAUCAAAAAAAAAAAGAAAGGGAGAAAAGGAGAAAAGUGUGAGACUCUGAAGCAAUAUAGCAAACUGAUUUGUCUCAACAUAGUCACAGAACCUUCAAGCAGCCUUUUAUAGUAUUUCAUUUCACUGGAGUGCUGACACGAGUUCCAUUUCAGUGAUGGAAGAGAAUCCUACACUUCUGUGGAGCAUAAAAUGUCAUAAACAAAAGGCAAGUGAUAAAUUGGACCC